CCGACCCUACCUCGGCCCCCGGGGCUGCCGCGGAAGGGCCCCCAAAGCCUGCUCAUAGCCAAGGGACAGGAGGAAGAACUUCUUCUGCAGGGGGAGGAAGGAGGUGCCUGUGUGAGCCGCGCGCCCCCGUGCCCACAGCUCUGCCCUGGGGCGUGCGUUCACACUCACGGGCAUACGUGCUCAUGCACACCCCCACCCCCAGGCACACUCCCAGCCCUCGCCUGGGUUCUGAAACUGCUGGAGGUUGAACCCACUCCCCAAGGCACCCUCAGCAAGAGGCUCCCUUGGCUCAGAAACUCCAAGUUCCGUCCCUGAUGGAGACCACGCACCCUGCCAUGCUGCCCUCCAGGGAGUCCUGGGGACAGUGAGAGCUUGCAGGAAGGGCAGGGCGGGUCUGGGUGGGGAGCCUGGCUCUGUAUUCUUGACCAUAGCCGGCUGGGCCCCUGGCGGGGACUGGCUCUCUGGGACCGGUGCUCCCCCCACCCUCUCCUGGAGCCCCAGCAGGUGCAGGACAGUAAGGCUGACCUCAGCCUGGGGCAGCCCCACCCAAGACUCCCCACCCCGCACAAACUGGGGUGCAGGGCCUCCUACCUCCCGGCGUUGCUGGGAACAGCGGCACCUGUACCAGGCGAACAUGACCAGAGCGACCAAGAGGAUGAAGACAGCAGUGACCACCGCUGGCACAGGCCAGAACCCAGUGUCGGGGGCGGACUGGGGUUCUGCACCUGAAGGAGGCAGUUCAGGGGUGUACAGGUGGGCUGGGCAUCCCCCACCCCCUACCUCCUCCGUGUAGCUCCCAGCCUCCUCCUCCUACACACUCCCUGGGGUGAGAAUGAGCCUUGGAAGACGGCACCGCCGUUGCCCAGGAGGUACAGGGGUGGGAGGGAGCCAGGAGGAGAGGGGGCGCAGGACCAGAGGUGGAAGGAGACCCAGAGCGCAGGUGUGUCGGGGCAGCGAGGGAAACAUCUACCCCUGGAUGUGCCAGGUCCCAGGAGCUGCGCGCUGGCCCGGUCCUUCAGGCCUCGGGGUUCUGGGGAAGAGAUGCAAGGGCAGGGGAGGGGCCUGCCCUGUUGUGGCCCACCCAGGGCCAGGUAUCUGAGGAGCCUCAUGCCUGAGCCCAGGAAGGGCUCACCAGAUGCCCUGGGGGUGGAGAGCAAAGCGGAACCCAAUUUGGGUGACCCGGGUAGGUCGGAACCG
rnacentral:lncRNA from 1 species